rnacentral:lncRNA from 1 species
GUGUUCCGCCCAGUCAGGGAGAGCCAGCAGCCUAGGGAGGCGAAAUGCUUAGCCGUGCUCUCGCCGAUGCCGGCCGAGGCACCUCAAACCUGGAACGACU